UGGGACGUUGUGUACGGUGCACCGCUGCAUUCAAUGCGUCAGACUGGGUACUAGUUGACCAGCAGCAAUCCGGGGUUCGACUCCCCGCGUCCCAA